rnacentral:tRNA from 1 species
GGGCGUCUAGUUCAAAGGUGGAAUCUCUGGUUGUCAACCAGAAGGGUGCGGGUUCGAGUCCCGUGGCGCUCGCCA